rnacentral:rRNA from 1 species
GACGAACGCUGGCGGCGUGCCUAAUACAUGCAAGUAGAACGCACAGUUUAUACCGUAGCUUGCUACACCAUAGACUGUGAGUUGCGAACGGGUGAGUAACGCGUAGGUAACCUGCCUGGUAGCGGGGGAUAACUAUUGGAAACGAUAGCUAAUACCGCAUAAUAUUAAUUAUUGCAUGAUAAUUAAUUGAAAGGUGCAAUUGCACCACUACCAGAUGGACCUGCGUUGUAUUAGCUAGUAGGUGAGGUAACGGCUCACCUAGGCGACGAUACAUAGCCGACCUGAGAGGGUGAUCGGCCACACUGGGACUGAGACACGGCCCAGACUCCUACGGGAGGCAGCAGUAGGGAAUCUUCGGCAAUAGACGAAAGUCUGACCGAGCAACGCCGCGUGAGUGAAGAAGGUUUUCAGAUCGUAAAGCUCUGCUGUAAGAGAAGAACGGGUGUGAGAGUGGAAAGUUCACACUGUGACGGUAUCUUACCAGAAAGGGACGGCUAACUACGUG